GUCCACGCCGUAAACGAUGGGCACUAGAUGUGGGCGGUGUCGACUCCGUCCGUGUCGAAGCUAACGCAUUAAGUGCCCCGCCUGGGGAGUACGGCCGCAAGGCUAAAACUCAAAGGAAUUGACGGGGGCCCCGCACAAGCAGCGGAGCAUGUGGUUUAAUUGGACGCAACGCCAAGAACCUUACCUGGGCUUGACAUGUCGGUGAAAACCUUGGAAACAAGGCCCCUUUCGGAGCGCCGUCACAGGUGGUGCAUGGCUGUCGU
rnacentral:rRNA from 1 species